rnacentral:rRNA from 1 species
GGGUUGUGAGGUUAAGCGACUAAGCGUACACGGUGGAUGCCCUGGCAGUCAGAGGCGAUGAAGGACGUGCUAAUCUGCGAUAAGCGUCGGUAAGGUGAUAUGAACCGUUAUAACCGGCGAUUUCCGAAUGGGGAAACCCAGUGUGWUUCGWCACACUAUCAUUAACUGAAUCCAUAGGUUAAUGAGGCGAACCGGGGGAACUGAAACAUCUAAGUACCCCGAGGAAAAGAAAUCAACCGAGAUUCCCCCAGUAGCGGCGAGCGAACGGGGAGSAGCCCAGAGCCUGAAUCAGUGUGUGUGUUAGUGGAAGCGUCUGGAAAGGCGCGCGAUACAGGGUGACAGCCCCGUACACAAAAAUGCACAUACUGUGAGCUCGAUGAGUAGGGCGGGACACGUGGUAUCCUGUCUGAAUAUGGGGGGACCAUCCUCCAAGGCUAAAUACUCCUGACUGACCGAUAGUGAACCAGUACCGUGAGGGAAAGGCGAAAAGAACCCCGGCGAGGGGAGUGAAAAAGAACCUGAAACCGUGUACGUACAAGCAGUGGGAGCCUCUUUAUGGGGUGACUGCGUACCUUUUGUAUAAUGGGUCAGCGACUUAUAUUCUGUAGCAAGGUUAACCGAAUAGGGGAGCCGAAGGGAAACCGAGUCUUAACUGGGCGUUAAGUUGCAGGGUAUAGACCCGAAACCCGGUGAUCUAGCCAUGGGCAGGUUGAAGGUUGGGUAACACUAACUGGAGGACCGAACCGACUAAUGUUGAAAAAUUAGCGGAUGACUUGUGGCUGGGGGUGAAAGGCCAAUCAAACCGGGAGAUAGCUGGUUCUCCCCGAAAGCUAUUUAGGUAGCGCCUCGUGAAUUCAUCUCCGGGGGUAGAGCACUGUUUCGGCAAGGGGGUCAUCCCGACUUACCAACCCGAUGCAAACUGCGAAUACCGGAGAAUGUUAUCACGGGAGACACACGGCGGGUGCUAACGUCCGUCGUGAAGAGGGAAACAACCCAGACCGCCAGCUAAGGUCCCAAAGUCAUGGUUAAGUGGGAAACGAUGUGGGAAGGCCCAGACAGCCAGGAUGUUGGCUUAGAAGCAGCCAUCAUUUAAAGAAAGCGUAAUAGCUCACUGGUCGAGUCGGCCUGCGCGGAAGAUGUAACGGGGCUAAACCAUGCACCGAAGCUGCGGCAGCGACACUAUGUGUUGUUGGGUAGGGGAGCGUUCUGUAAGCCUGUGAAGGUGKMCUGUGAGGYWUGCUGGAGGUAUCAGAAGUGCGAAUGCUGACAUAAGUAACGAUAAAGCGGGUGAAAAGCCCGCUCGCCGGAAGACCAAGGGUUCCUGUCCAACGUUAAUCGGGGCAGGGUGAGUCGACCCCUAAGGCGAGGCCGAAAGGCGUAGUCGAUGGGAAACAGGUUAAUAUUCCUGUACUUGGUGUUACUGCGAAGGGGGGACGGAGAAGGCUAUGUUGGCCGGGCGACGGUUGUCCCGGUUUAAGCGUGUAGGCUGGUUUUCCAGGCAAAUCCGGAAAAUCAAGGCUGAGGCGUGAUGACGAGGCACUACGGUGCUGAAGCAACAAAUGCCCUGCUUCCAGGAAAAGCCUCUAAGCAUCAGGUAACAUCAAAUCGUACCCCAAACCGACACAGGUGGUCAGGUAGAGAAUACCAAGGCGCUUGAGAGAACUCGGGUGAAGGAACUAGGCAAAAUGGUGCCGUAACUUCGGGAGAAGGCACGCUGAUAUGUAGGUGAAGCGACUUGCUCGUGGAGCUGAAAUCAGUCGAAGAUACCAGCUGGCUGCAACUGUUUAUUAAAAACACAGCACUGUGCAAACACGAAAGUGGACGUAUACGGUGUGACGCCUGCCCGGUGCCGGAAGGUUAAUUGAUGGGGUUAGCGGUAACGCGAAGCUCUUGAUCGAAGCCCCGGUAAACGGCGGCCGUAACUAUAACGGUCCUAAGGUAGCGAAAUUCCUUGUCGGGUAAGUUCCGACCUGCACGAAUGGCGUAAUGAUGGCCAGGCUGUCUCCACCCGAGACUCAGUGAAAUUGAACUCGCUGUGAAGAUGCAGUGUACCCGCGGCAAGACGGAAAGACCCCGUGAACCUUUACUAUAGCUUGACACUGAACAUUGAGCCUUGAUGUGUAGGAUAGGUGGGAGGCUUUGAAGUGUGGACGCCAGUCUGCAUGGAGCCGACCUUGAAAUACCACCCUUUAAUGUUUGAUGUUCUAACGUUGRCCCSUKAUCCGGGUUGCGGACAGUGUCUGGUGGGUAGUUUGACUGGGGCGGUCUCCUCCUAAAGAGUAACGGAGGAGCACGAAGGUUGGCUAAUCCUGGUCGGACAUCAGGAGGUUAGUGCAAUGGCAUAAGCCAGCUUGACUGCGAGCGUGACGGCGCGAGCAGGUGCGAAAGCAGGUCAUAGUGAUCCGGUGGUUCUGAAUGGAAGGGCCAUCGCUCAACGGAUAAAAGGUACUCCGGGGAUAACAGGCUGAUACCGCCCAAGAGUUCAUAUCGACGGCGGUGUUUGGCACCUCGAUGUCGGCUCAUCACAUCCUGGGGCUGAAGUAGGUCCCAAGGGUAUGGCUGUUCGCCAUUUAAAGUGGUACGCGAGCUGGGUUUAGAACGUCGUGAGACAGUUCGGUCCCUAUCUGCCGUGGGCGCUGGAGAACUGAGGGGGGCUGCUCCUAGUACGAGAGGACCGGAGUGGACGCAUCACUGGUGUUCGGGUUGUCAUGCCAAUGGCACUGCCCGGUAGCUAAAUGCGGAAGAGAUAAGUGCUGAAAGCAUCUAAGCACGAAACUUGCCCCGAGAUGAGUUCUCCCUGACUCCCUGAGAGUCCUGAAGGAACGUUGAAGACGACGACGUUGAUAGGCCGGGUGUGUAAGCGCAGCGAUGCGUUGAGCUAACCGGUACUAAUGAACCGUGAGGCUUAACCUUACAACGCCGAAG